rnacentral:rRNA from 2 species
UACGUAGGGGGCAAGCGUUGUCCGGAUUUAUUGGGCGUAAAGAGCGUGUAGGCGGCUGGGUAGGUCCGUUGUGAAAACUCGAGGCUCAACCUCGAGACGCCGAUGGAAACCCCCCAGCUAGAGUCCGGAAGAGGAGAGUGGAAUUCCUGGUGUAGCGGUGAAAUGCGCAGAUAUCAGGAAGAACACCCGUGGCUAAGGCGGCUCUCUAGUACGGUACUGACGCUGAGACGCGAAAGCGUGGGGAGCGAACAGG